UACGGGGGGGGGCAAGCGGUUGUUCGGAAUUACUGGGCGUAAAGGGCUCGUAGGCGGCCAACUAAGUCGGAUGUGAAAUCCCCCAGGCUCAACUUGGGGAACUGCAUCCGAUACUGGAUGGCUUGAAUUCGGGAGAGGGAUGCAGAAUUCCAGGUGUAGCGGUGAAAUGCGUAGAUAUCUGGAGGAAUACCGGUGGCGAAGGCGGCAUCCUGGACCGACAUUGACGCUGAGGAGCGAAAAGCUAGGGGGAGCAAAACGGG
rnacentral:rRNA from 1 species